rnacentral:rRNA from 1 species
CCUACGGGUGGCAGCAGUGGGGAAUAUUGCACAAUGGGGGAAACCCUGAUGCAGCAAUGCCGCGUGAGUGAUGACGGCCUUCGGGUUGUAAAGCUCUGUCUUCGGGGACGAUAAUGACGGUACCCGAGGAGGAAGCCACGGCUAACUACGUGCCAGCAGCCGCGGUAAUACGUAGGUGGCAAGCGUUGUCCGGAUUUACUGGGCGUAAAGGGAGCGUAGGCGGACUUUUAAGUGAGAUGUGAAAUACCCGGGCUCAACUUGGGUGCUGCAUUUCAAACUGGAAGUCUAGAGUGCAGGAGAGGAGAAGGGAAUUCCUAGUGUAGCGGUGAAAUGCGUAGAGAUUAGGAAGAACACCAGUGGCGAAGGCGCUUCUCUGGACUGUAACUGACGCUGAGGCUCGAAAGCGUGGGGAGCAAACAGGAUUAGAUACCCGAGUAGUC